rnacentral:rRNA from 1 species
UGGGGAAUAUUGGACAAUGGGCGAAAGCCUGAUCCAGCCAUGCCGCGUGUGUGAAGAAGGUCUUCGGAUUGUAAAGCACUUUAAGUUGGGAGGAAGGGCAGUAAGCGAAUACCUUGUUGUUUUGACGUUACCGACAGAAUAAGCACCGGCUAACUCUGUGCCAGCAGCCGCGGUAAUACAGAGGGUGCAAGCGUUAAUCGGAAUUACUGGGCGUAAAGCGCGCGUAGGUGGUUCGUUAAGUUGAAUGUGAAAGCCCCGGGCUCAACCUGGGAACUGCAUCCAAAACUGGCGAGCUAGAGUAGGGCAGAGGGUGGUGGAAUUUCCUGUGUAGCGGUGAAAUGCGUAGAUAUAGGAAGGAACACCAGUGGCGAAGGCGACCACCUGGGCUCAUACUGACACUGAGGUGCGAAAGCGUGGGGAGCAAACAGG